GGGGGAUCGCGCCGGACGGCGAGGUGAGCAAUUGGAAAGCGUGUUGGGGGCAACCCCUCACGAGUUCGAAUCUCGUAUCCUCCGCCA
rnacentral:tRNA from 1 species